UAAUAACAUCGGAACGUAACCCACGUAGUGGGGAGGUAGCUCGGCGAAAGCCGGAUUAAUACCGCAUACGACCUAUGGGUGAAAGCGGGGGAUCGCAAGACCUCGCGCUAUUGGAGCGGCCGAUGUCGGAUUAGCUAGUUGGUGAGGUAAAGGCUCACCAAGGCUACGAUCCGUAGCUGGUCUGAGAGGACGACCAGCCACACUGGGACUGAGACACGGCCCAG
rnacentral:rRNA from 1 species